rnacentral:lncRNA from 1 species
CUUAGACUUUACUGUAUUACACAUGCACCAUAUCAUUAAAUAAUAAAUCAAUCAUAUUUUUCUAUUUUAAAAAAAUAUAUAAUAAAAAUAUUUUUCUAUUAACUAUGAUGAGACAUAUCAAUUUAAUGGCGUGUUUGGUUCGCACUAUGAAAAAUUACUAAGAGUAAAAAGAUAUUCGAGAAUCUUAUUACUAUUCAUUCUAUUAUAAAAAUAUAAUAUUUUGAUAUUUAGUUCGCACGGUAAUAUUAUUUAGUCAUAUUAUUUAAAAUUACUAAAAAUAUACAAUUAAUUAAAUUAAUUUAAUUUUAAAUAAUUCUAUAAAAAAUUUCAACAUUUUUUAAGAAAAAAAAGAGAUAGAAUAUAUGUUAGAAAAAGAGAGCAUAAUUAAGAAAUAGAAAGAAAAAUAGAGUCCAGAUUAGAGAGAAUGAGAAUGUUGAGAUUUUAGAGAAAGAUGGAGAGAAAUAGCAAUUUAGAGAAAGAAAAAGAGUUAAAGUUUAGAGAGAAAAAGAUAAGUUUAGAGAGAAAUAUGAGGGUAGAGUGUAAAGAAAAAUAAUAUCAACUAACCGGCGGGUAGGAAGAAAAAAAAAAAAUUAGACAUAUUAUAAUUAGUCAAAUUCAUUAAUAUAAGAUACCCACCAUUCCUGAAAUGAAUGAGAUUAAUAUUUUGGGAUGCAUCUUAUUUCCAAGUAAAUCUAGUAUUACCAACUAGAUUACUUAGUACGUUUAGCAAAACACCGUUAUAUUCUUUUUAUUCCUAUUGGAUUACUAUGAAUUUUAAAAAAAUAGCGCGAACCAAACGCAUUCUAAGAAAAAUAAUUUUAUUGGUUAGAUACUCCACGUCAGUAAUAUAAUUGGUAUAUUUUAAAUUUUUUUAACACUU